ensembl:lncRNA
AAAACCCUGAAUUUGUAUUGUCAUUCAUUUAUCUGAUUUAAUGGAGAUGGUAGAUGUUGAACUGUGGGACAGUGCCCAAGUUUGGGGACUGAGUAAUCUGUUCCUUCCUUCAAAGGUCUAUCAUGGAUAUUUAACUGCAGUUCUGUGAGUAUCCCAACUUGACCAUGAAGAUGAACUGCAAACUGUAAGUCAUUAGUUUCUCGUUACUCUUGGGCACAUUGAUGUAUUUUGGCUUCCUGGUGAGUUAACCUGUUAGCUGAAGGUUGAUCUGAGUAUUAAGGAUGUUUCAUUGGUUCAUGGGUUACUUAGGUGUUUGGUUUAUGUUGGUUUUAAUGUUUUUUUAUAAUGGUCACAGGCUCCAAGUUAUUGUUGUAAGCUGGAGUAAUGGGUUGGGUUCUGAUAUCUUUAGUCUUCUUCCCAGCUACUCUCCUGAGCUCUGCAUCUUCAUCACGUGAGUGUUGCUUUAUUUAUGAGGGUGUGGUCUGAGUGAGCAGAGGUGCAUACUGGGAUACAGAGUUGUCUGAAGUCUACAGGUCUGUAGACACGCCCCCGCAGAGGAAACCGUGUGUUUGAGAAACGGUCGUGACAUCAGUUACAUGGACUAGAAUGUUCUUUAAGAUGGAGACAGGGAUUCAGAAGGAGAAACACCAGGGGGAGAUGAGGGGGCUCCUCAUCUCAACGACUAAAACACAACUUCAGUCUGAUGCAGAACCAUGGAACACAUUCAACCGUCCCCUCCAGGCAUCGUGACUCCUCAGGAACAGUUUCAUUUCCAAGAAGGUCUUAUUUGGGGCCAUUCCAAGAUGGAUCCUGCUCCUCAAGAGCCACCCCCCUCCACUGGGUUGUCUUAUGAACAGAUGACCUCCUUCCUGUCCUCAGGCUGACUAAAGCUGCACCGCUUGCUGUGAAGGCCCCUCAUUCAGGAAUCCAUUGGACUACAAAGACAUGACUUCAGAGACGUUGAAUCAACCUGGGACACAUUUUGGACGCCAAACAUAAUCCAUCACCAAUGUGGGAUGCCAAUGAAGAAUGUUGUACAUAAUUUACGUCCCUGGAGACAUUGGUUGUUCUGUUCUGGGUGUCCUGGCAGGAGAGCUGGGGGUGGAUGAUGGAAUGUCCUUUGGGAUGAGGUUUUUACCCUGCAUGAUUGUUUUGCCUUUUAUGGCUGUGUUGUUUGUUGGUUUGACAUGAGGUGGAUGAUUUUUGUGUGUCACUCACACCUGGCAUGGGGUUCUGUGUGUGUGUGUGUGACAGUGAUAAUGGUCUUUGACAGUGAUAAUGGUGCUUCCCGCCGUGGGGGUCUCUUGUGAUUGGCUUGGGAUAUUGGAAUGGUCAAAUAAAUCAUACCUGAUGGACGGCUACACGUUUACUUGAGGCCUCCAGUAGACAUGAAGAGCACGGAGCAACGCUCCGGAGAGAUAUCAAACACACUGGGCAGGAAGGAGAGUUUCCAAAUCAAGUGUAAAUGGAUGCAAGCGGCGUGUUCAGAUCAGUGACUUCAAACUAGGACCACACAAAUCAGGAUCAAUGGAGGAUGGACACCUAAAGGCAUUCCACAAGGAGAGUCUGACGUUGGAAAGGGGCCUCGAUGGAUAUUCAAGAUGACCUUCAGACCUGUAAUGAGACGGCUCUUCCUACCUGGCUGGAUUGAUGGAGAGCCCUGUGGAUCUUGUCUUGCUCUCAGUUGCACGUCUUCUCAGGCUGAACUGUAUUUGUUUUAGACAGGACUAGCUGAACGAUUGGUUCCCUUAAAUCAGAACCUAUCUGGGAACUCCAACUAGUGCGCUCUUCGAGCUGAAGUUGUGCUCUUCAGCUGAGGAGGUAAGGAAACCUUCACUGGGGAUUCAAGAUGUAAAGAGGAGACUGUUUCAAAGUGUUCCAUGGUACUCUGAUGAAGACCGUUGUUGCGUUCCACUGGCUGAGAGGAAGAACCCUCACAUCUUCCUCUUGGCCUUUCUCCUCAGAGUCCUGGCGCCAUCUUGAAGGAUAUUCCGGGGCAUGUAACUGUUGUCACGACAGAUUCUCAAACACUUGGUUUCUCCUGAGGGGCUUCUCUAUAGAACUGAAGACUUCAGACAGCACUGUAUCCCAGCAUGCAUCUCUGCUCACUCAGACCACACCCUAAUGAGUAGGAUGCAACACUCUAGUAAUGGAGAUGUAGAGUUUAUAAGUAACGAGGGAGCAGACAAAGGUGAUUAGAACACAAUGGCAUGUCAAGUCUGUAAAUCUUUAAACCAUGAAGAUGGUUGGAUAGAUCAGGAAUUGGGCUUUAUUUUUUAUGGGCAGUCCUUUCGCUCAAAUGCCCACUUCUCGCUGGACCUGUACAUGUGUUGGCUGGCUGGCAUGAUUUGCUGUUGGUGAUGAGUAGGUCAGGGUGACGUUGCAGGGCUAUGGUCGGCUCUCUGUGAGCUCAACAUUUAGAUUUGCUCUUUAUGGUUUGUACCAUGAAUAAUCUAGAUAAUUGUAAAAUGUAGACAUGGUUUUGUAUUGAAUGAUUCCAUUGUUUUUAGGCAAGGAUUUGUUGUUGUGGGAUGUACAUGGUAGUUUGGUUCUUCGUACGGUUUUGAUUGAUAUAACUUGUACACACUGGGUGCAUAAUAAUGUAAAAGUAUACUGAAUAGUAGUAAUUACCAACAGCAACAAACAGAUCUCCUCAAGGUAAGUCUGUUGGCUGUGUUUUAAUGUAGACCAUCGCUGGACUUCAGGAUCUUCCUCCGUUCAGCUCAAGGUGAGGCGCUGGUUCUGUUUUUUCUUUGGUUGGUUCCGGCCGGAAUGUUCGGAUUCCAGUCGGACGGUUUGUGCUUCCCGCCGUGGAAGGUUUUGAGUGCGGUCACUUGAUUUAGUCCCAAUGGUUAGCAUAGAACGUUGUAGUCUUGACCCCCAUUAGAAGCCACCUGGCAGUUAGUUGGACAGGAAUCUGUCUGAACGUUCUGGAUUGUAUUUGCGUAACCUUGAGCCGUUGCCAACGGAAACUAUUUUUCAGUUGUUUCCAUUGGGAAUUGUUGGCCCUUAUCUUAAACAACUUAAGUUUGAUAUUAAAUACAUACUGACACGUACAUCGUACAAUAUGUUGAUCAUUUUCGAUGGUUGCGCCGUACUUUUAUCCACGUUGACGGGACUCUCGCUGCGUACAAAACUGCGUUCUACUUGCGGGCCCAUUUCUGACAUCAGUGAAGGCUGAAAAUCAUUUCAAGGUGGAAGACAAUUUGACUUUCCUUCAACGGAAUCCAGCACCUGAAUAUGAAUGGGUAAAUUUGAUUUAAUAUCAAUACUGCUUAGUGUUCUUUGGUACUUCAGCUUUUGUACCUUCUAAAUAUCUGCGGUCAUUAAUUGCCACAGAAGUUAUACCCCACCUAAUGGAUUGACGUUAAACAACGACUGAGUUGCUGAGUUACCAACUGGAUAAUAUCAAAGCUAAAAUAAUGGCCGUCCUUCCCACGUGUUACAGUAGUAGACACUCUAGAACUGUACAAGGUUAAAAAGGUAACUUGUAGUUUGUCCCAAGGUGUCCACCUCCUCACCCAGAGCCAGACCUCCACCUCCUGUCACAAGUCCUCCAGAACAGCUGAAAGGCGAGGCUGAGAGGCUGGGGACCGGAGGCUUGUGGUGCCAGGGUGGACCGGAGACUGAGGCUGGAGACCAGGGGCCUGCAGCACCGGAUCAGAGGACCAGGAAUCCAUGGCUGAAGGAGCUGAUGGAGGAGCAAUGCUGAAGGCCCUGCCUGGUGGAGGAGCUGACGGAGGCCCUGCCUGGUGGAGGAUGUCUGUCGUGGGGUAGAUGGAGCCUGACUCUGAAGUGACAUCACACUCACUGCCACUUCUCGUAGAAUACUGCUACCACAAACCACCGGCGUUUGUACCAUAUAUACCAGACAACUACAUCUGUUUUACCACAUGUUGCAGCAAGACUUCCGCUGUUUGUUCCAGACCAGGACUCUGUCUGAGGAGAGCUGAUGGAGGAGCUGAGACGCUGGAGGACGACUAGGAAUCGACCAACAAGGAUUCCUCAAUGUGUUUCUGGAGCGGAGGCGAGCUGAUAGGGGAGCCGUGAAUCUGGAGGAUGACCAUCACUCUACCAACAAGGAUUACCAGGAAUCUGGAGGACUAACUAAGAAGCCGUACAUCUGGAAAGCAAAUCCUGAGGACGACCAGGACUCUACCAUCAACGAUUCCUCACACACCUGAGCUAAACCCCACCUGAUCCGGACAUCCUGCUUGUCCCGUCUCCUCAGUUCAUCUGAGCCUCGUCCUCCAGAAGUCCUGCUGAGCUCAGCGGUCUGAGGCUGAUGGAUCAAUGACCUCCAGUGGGAGUGAUCUUCUUGACCCCACAUGUAGCCGUGUGCUUCCACACGCCUUUCCCUCAAGUCUGUCACUAACCUCACUACUUCACUACUCUCUACUCCUUCCGCUUCUUCUUCCUUCUCAGUGGUUCGAACCGUUACUCCGAAGGAGUGUCUCCUUGAACCUUUACACUGAAGGAGCGUCUUCCUGCCCUCAGAGGGUUCAGCGUUAGGGUUGAGAGUCAGGGUUUAGAGUCAGGGACAGAGCUGGUCAGGGAGGACUGCUUUUACACAAACCUCUUCACUUGCUUUCUGAAUGGUGACAUUUUGAAAAGAUUCAUCUGGGCAAAUGUUUUCCUCUGCUUGUAUUUGUAUGUAUAUGUAUUUAACUUCCGUCAAUUGUUUUUAUAUUAAAAUCCCACAUUGACUUCUGCAUUUUGGUGCUGUUCAUUUAAUUGUCCUUUAACUUGACAAUUGUCAAGUUAAACUCCUGCAAUACAUUUAAUAUACAUGAUGAAUGUUAUUCAGCAAUGUUCCCAUAAUCGAUUUUGUAAAAAUAUAAAACAUCCAUAUUACUACUAAA